UGCACAAACUCGAAGUAAAGUAGUUUAGUGAAGUCAGGUGAUCCUCCUUAUCUACUCUACUUCGAGUUUGUGCCC
rfam:Haemonchus contortus, ISE/inbred ISE, WGS project CAVP01000000 data, contig: Hcontortus_47148